rnacentral:rRNA from 1 species
UACGAAGGGGGCUAGCGUUGUUCGGAGUUACUGGGCGUAAAGGGCGCGUAGGCGGCGCAUCAAGUCAGGCGUGAAAGCCCUGGGCUCAACCCGGGAAUUGCGCUUGAGACUGGUGUGCUCGAGUACGGGAGAGGAUAGUGGAAUUCCCAGUGUAGAGGUGAAAUUCGUAGAGAUUGGGAAGAACACCAGUGGCGAAGGCGGCUAUCUGGACCGUAACUGACGCUGAGGCGCGAAAGCGUGGGGAGCAAACAGG